AUAUUUUAUUAAUAUGGUAUUAUUAUUCAUGUAUUCUAAAUAUGCUUUUUUUUCUUUGCAUUUUUAUUUUACUUACAGAACCGUGGCGUUUUGUUGAGGAUUUUUUUAUUCUUAUUUACUAUUUUUUCACCGAGAGAUUCCUUUCCAGCGUUUAGAAUAUUCCGGUAUUAUUUUUACUCUCCUCCUCCAUCAUCUUCCUCAAUUCGGUUGCUUUGUAUUGAAUCUGUUAGUGUCCUUUCGUAUAAGUACUUUGUUAAUUUUCUACAUUGUAUUUUUGUGAUGUAUUCGUGUUAUGAGUUCUUAUUGAAUAUUAACUCGAUCAUUCGUAUUUUCGCUACUGCUAAUUUGUGAUCACUUUCUAAGGUAAAUGCCCGUACGUCUAAGAUUUGGAGUGGUGUCUCGGUUAGUAUGUAGUCAAUCAUGGAUCUAUGUCCCCUUGUAUUCUCAAAACUGUACUUAUACUGCUCCUUAUGUGGGAAAAUUAUGUAGUUUAUACGUAUUAUUUAGUUUGUAUUACAUAGAUCUGUGAAAAGAUCUCCAUUUCUAUUUCUAACAUUCUCAUUGAGUCGUUAUUUUAUUCCUGGGAUAAUAUCGUUACCAUUCGAUACCAAAAUAACCAUAUUAUACUAGUGUCGUCUAUCAUCUCUGUAGGUUUUCAAAAACUUUCUCACUAAUACAUUCCUAUCUAUUACUUUCCGGUGCGUAUCUUCAUAUGGUGUUAACUUGUUUUCCUCCUAGUUUUAUUUUAAUUCCAAUAAUAUUGAUUCCGAUAAAUUUAAUAUACGAUAUAAUAAAAUAUGAUUCUGAUAUGUAAUUGCACUCUUCUAUCUUAUUAAUUAGCGAUUCGGCUGAUUCUAUUAAUUAUUACAGCGACUCCUUCCUUAGGUCUUGUUUCUUUUGUCUAUCUAUGUCGAUCUAUAGACAUAUGUUCAUCAGUAAGUUUUUUAGUGGGUUCCAGUUCUCUUAUAGUCCGGGAUCCCAGGCCCAUGUCUAUCUAUAGACAUAUGUGCAUCAGUAAGUUUUUUAGUGAGUUCCAGUUCUCUUAUAGUCCGGGAUCCCAGGACCAUUUUCACCACUAACAAACUAAUUUUUCGUGAGUAACUUCAUUUUGACGAGACGCCCAACUUUUGUCCUUACAACAAUUUUUGUCUGUGGUACCUAACAGGGGUAGCAGGGGUCAAAUAUGUUGAGUUGAUGAAUCUCAAAAAUGUAUUACUAACUGUUUUUUUUUUGUUAAUUUUCAAGAUAAUUAUCUAAAUUGGCCGAAAAAAAUAUUUGUCCUACAAAAUGCAAGGUCUUAUCAAAGAGUCCCCUCUUUCCAACAUGUGUCAUUGACGAAGUCAUGAGAAAUAAUUACUAACCAUCUGAUUUUUUUUUUGUUGAUUUGUUAAUAUUUAUGUAAUUUAACACCCACAUUGUCCUACAAAAUGAGUGGUACGUUAUCCUGGUCCUACGUUCAAAAGUUGUAGUAAAAAUACUAAUUACUAUCAAGCUAAAUCUUCGUUAAUAGCUUCGUUUCGAUGAGACGCCCAACAAUUUCUUGUACGAAAAUUUUCGUUUUUUUUAUUUCAUUUUUAACAUUCAUUACCAACUGUUUUUUUUAUUAAUUCUCAAGAUAAUUAUCUAAAUAAGCCGAAAAAAUAUGUGUCCUACAAAAAGCAAGGUUUUGUCAUAGAGUCCCUUUUGAACAUGUACCAUGAACGAGGACAUGAAAAAUAAUUACUAACCACUUGAUUUUUUUCUGUUGGUAAGUUAAUAUUUAUAUAAUUUAACACCCAUGUAACAGUUGUCCUACAAAUUGCAUUGUCCGUUAUUCUGGUCCUCCAAUUAAAUACAUUUUUUAAAUUCAUGAAAUUAAAAAUCAAUUUAUUUUCUGCUAUUAGAGCUGAGUUACACUGGUACAAGUACUCAUGCGUACAUCGUUGUUUAUAGUGUGUUAGCAACGAAUAUAGACGCAUAGGGCUUUUCAUCACAUUUUUUGUGCGCUUGUUAGGCUAGGUUAGUAAUACAUAUAAAGUUCCUGUGAACACACAAUUAAGAUAAAAAAAUACUAAAAAAAGUAAAGUUAUUGAAAAAAAAAA
rnacentral:lncRNA from 1 species